rnacentral:rRNA from 1 species
AUGGAAUGCCACAGUGAACUGAGCAAGGCUCCACCUUUGACUAUUUGCGAUGUCCAGUCUGAUGCAGAAUCAGCCAUCCACACUAGACCAAGUUCGGAAAAUGUAUUCACCACCCCGCAGAAAAUGUACAGUGCACCAUUCUGUCGCUCAUCUUGUACUCCAGAGUGUGAUGAUGACAUUAGGCCAGCCAUAGGGAUGACCUUUACAGAUUUGAACGCAGCCAAGGAUUUCUAUGAAGCUUAUGCACAUCAUGUUGGUUUUUCAGUACGUGUAGGACAACAUAAGACAGCCAAUGGUGUCAUUACUCACAAGCGUUUCUACUGUGAUCGUGAAGGUUUCCGCCAGGAGCAGAAAGGUUGCUUGGUGGCACUACUGGCUUCUGCAAGUUAUUAG